rnacentral:tRNA from 1 species
GCCGAGAUGGCGGAAUUGGUAGACGCGCGGGUCUCAAAAACCCGUUGGAGCGAUCCAGUGAGGGUUCGAUUCCCUCUCUCGGCA